rnacentral:snoRNA from 1 species
ACAGAUGGAAAGAUAUACUGUGUUCAUGGAUUAGAAGAAUUAAUAUUGUUAAAAUAACCAUACUACUGACAUUAUCCCGCUGAAAGAAAAUUUGUGUUGAUCGUUUUUGAUUUUGCCUUUAUGGGGGUAAACUCAUGACAGAUUGACAUUAAAAAAU